GAUGAACGCUGGCGGCGUGCUUAACACAUGCAAGUCGAACGGAAAGGCGCUGCUUGCACGGUGCUCGAGUGGCGAACGGGUGAGUAACACGUGGGUGAUCUGCCCCUUACUUUGGGAUAAGCCUGGGAAACUGGGUCUAAUACUGGCUAGGACCAUGCUGUAGGUGGUGUGGUGGAAAGAUUAGUUUCGGUAAGGGAUGAGCUAGCGGCCUAUCAGCGUGUUGGUGGGGUGAUGGCAUACCAAGGCGUCGCCGGGUAGCCGGCCUGCGAGGGGGGACGGCCACAUUGGGCCUGUACUGCGGCCCAGACUCCUACGGGAGGCAGCAGUGGGGAAUAUUGCACAAUGGGAGCAAGCCUGAUGCAGCGACGUCUCGUGGUGGAUGACGGCCUUCGUUUUGUAAACACCUUUCAGCCAUGACGAAGGCCUGGUGUUGCCGGUAGUGGUAGGAGAAACACCGCCAACCUACUG
rnacentral:rRNA from 1 species